UUAUUUAUUUUUUUUGUUUGUAAUAUGGUGAUUGAUAUUUUUUUAUGUUUAUUAUUUUUACAAUUAUGAUUGUUGAUAUAAUUUAAUUUUUUUUCGGUUUGGUAACCAUGUAGACAUAGGCAUGUAAUUUACUGCAUAAGAACUUCACAACCAACCAAGUGGUGGCUCUGUAAUCAUGGCCUAAGUCGACAUCAGGGGGUCCGACAUAUACGACAGCCGGGUCUAAACCUAUCCGACUAGAGCCUCGGCCAGGGAGGGUCCCGGAAUAUAAAUUCCAGUUCAUGGCGCGAGUUGAGCUUUUAGACCACAAUAUUAAGGAAUUGGCAAAUCGUAUUAUACACAUCUCUUUGAAUUGUUUGAAACUAGGUUGUGCAUUAGAUGCAAUAAUGCCACUGUACGGUAUGCAACGAACAAUCAUUCAACUAGUGUUUCAUCACUAACGUAAACCAUUAGUGACAUAACAUGUCAAGCGUUGACAAAGACUACAGGAGUAGCCGAAAUAUUCGCCAAAUUAAAUUUCAGUCUUUCUAAAGUCAA